rnacentral:ncRNA from 2 species
AAAUUUAAUAUAUUUUGUGGUUUUAAAGUUUUCUUUAAAUUAAAAGGGAAGCUGGUGUGAGUCCAGCACGAACCCGUCACUGUAACAAGGAGUAUAUACUAGUUACACCACUGUUAAUUAUGUUAAUGGGAAGGUUAGUAUAUAUGUUGAUUUGAAGUCAGGAGACCUGCCAUGAAGUAUAGACUAAA